GCUUAUGGCCAUAACACCCUGUCUGAGCCCUAUCUCGUCUGAUCUCGGAAGCCAAGCAGGGUCGGGUCUGAUUAGUACUUGGAUGGGAGACCGCCUGGGAAUAGCAGGUGCUGUAAGCU
ensembl:rRNA 5S_rRNA 5S ribosomal RNA